UUUUUAUGGAGAGUUUGAUCCUGGCUCAGGACGAACGCUGGCGGCGUGCCUAAUACAUGCAAGUCGAGCGAACAGAAAAGGAGCUUGCUCCUUUGACGUUAGCGGCGGACGGGUGAGUAACACGUGGGCAACCUACCUUAUAGUUUGGGAUAACUCCGGGAAACCGGGGCUAAUACCGAAUAAUCUAUUUCACUUCAUGGUGAAAUACUGAAAGACGGCAUCUCGCUGUCGCUAUAAGAUGGGCCCGCGGCGCAUUAGCUAGUUGGUGAGGUAACGGCUCACCAAGGCGACGAUGCGUAGCCGACCUGAGAGGGUGAUC
rnacentral:rRNA from 1 species